UACAAACCAAAAAUUAAACUGUUCCUCCAUCACGCUUAUGAAUUGGACUUUGAUAGAAUUUGAAUGAUCAUUCUUCAAUCUUUAGGGCUGCAAUUCUCUCCUUUCUUUCUUACAUGUCGUGGUGAUGUUGCACAAAAAGGUAGGUCGGUGGAGCUUUAGCACGUGUACGUUGGAAAUGGUAUGUGGGUUAGAAUGCUUUGAAUUUGUUUCCACCCCAAGGUUUCUAGAUCAACUCUAAUCUAUUAUUUUCUCUCUAAAUAAAUUGUUUCUUUGUUAA